AGAUCAAUGUGAGGCUAUUUGUAAGCCUACAUGUCCAUGGGGGGGCUUUAUGCCUAUGUUUUUAAAAAGGGGUUCAUUAGGUAUUUGAAUGAGGAACCAUCAAUCUAUGUCUGUGAAUACUACACAGUUAGUAGGUACUUGCAGGCAUGCAAAUAUGCUUUGGAAUGAUGAGCCGUUGUGGCCACAAUGUGAUAAUGUGAUGGUGACAACUUAACAUCAACCGAAUGAUUUAUUCAAUUUAACAUCAACU
rnacentral:lncRNA from 1 species